rnacentral:tRNA from 1 species
UGCGAGAAGAGCGAGGUCGAAGCUCCUUCUUCUCCCGCCUUACAAGCGGGUGGUCGGAGGUUCGAGUCCUCUCGCGCCCA